GAUGAACGCUGGCGGCGUGCCUAACACAUGCAAGUCGAGCGAUUUACUUCGGUAAAGAGCGGCGGACGGGUGAGUAACGCGUGGGUAACCUGCCUCAUACACAUGGAUAACAUACCGAAAGGUAUGCUAAUACAGGAUAAUAUAAGAGAUUCACAUGGAUUUCUUAUCAAAGCUCCGGCGGUAUGAGAUGGACCCGCGUCUGAUUAGCUAGUUGGUAAGGUAAUGGCUUACCAAGGCGACGAUCAGUAGCCGACCUGAGAGGGUGAUCGGCCACAUUGGAACUGAGACACGGUCCAAACUCCUACGGGAGGCAGCAGUGGGGAAUAUUGCACAAUGGGCGAAAGCCUGAUGCAGCAACGCCGCGUGAGUGAUGAAGGCCUUCGGGUCGUAAAACUCUGUCCUCAAGGAAGAUAAUGACGGUACUUGAGGAGGAAGCCCCGGCUAACUACGUG
rnacentral:rRNA from 1 species